rnacentral:rRNA from 1 species
GACGAACGCUGGCGGCGUGCCUAAUACAUGCAAGUAGAACGCACAGUUUAUACCGUAGCUUGCUACACCAUAGACUGUGAGUUGCGAACGGGUGAGUAACGCGUAGGUAACCUGCCUGGUAGCGGGGGAUAACUAUUGGAAACGAUAGCUAAUACCGCAUAAUAUUAAUUAUUGCAUGAUAAUUAAUUGAAAGGUGCAAUUGCACCACUACCAGAUGGACCUGCGUUGUAUUAGCUAGUAGGUGAGGUAACGGCUCACCUAGGCGACGAUACAUAGCCGACCUGAGAGGGUGAUCGGCCACACUGGGACUGAGACACGGCCCAGACUCCUACGGGAGGCAGCAGUAGGGAAUCUUCGGCAAUGGACGAAAGUCUGACCGAGCAACGCCGCGUGAGUGAAGAAGGUUUUCGGAUCGUAAAGCUCUGUUGUAGGAGAAGAACGGGUGUGAGAGUGGAAAGUUCACACUGUGACGGUAUCUUACCAGAAAGAGACGGCUAACUACGUG